UAUUUAUCAAGAGUGGCGGUAGAGAGCUGGCUCGAUGACCGUCCGACAACCCUUCAGAGCGACUCUUUGAAGAAGGUGUCAAAUCCAGUCCCGAUCGUAAAUCGAAGGAAAGAUAAAGG
rnacentral:ncRNA from 2 species